rnacentral:tRNA from 1 species
GGGCGUUUAGCUCAGUUGGUUAGAGCGUCUCGUUUACACCGAGAAGGUCGGGGGUUCGAGCCCCUCAACGCCCA